CUGCCAGGCUUGCUGAAAUACUCCCCAUCCACAGAACAACAGCUGCAAAGGCAGCGGCAGGACAAGGCAUCCUUUCUGCCGACUAAUUUGUCUCGAUCUUGACCUGAAGCAAUCAGGAGGGCAGGUAUUUCUUAUUCACCAUUCCCGUGCUAGCCUUCAUCUUU
ensembl:misc_RNA